rnacentral:misc_RNA from 1 species
GAAAAUUUAUCUUAUUUGGUUUUUUGGUUGAUUGGUUUGGUUUUGGUUUCUACUUUUCAAAAAUUUUGGUUUUGAGUCCGUUAAUUUAAAAAAACCAAAUUAACCAAACCAAACAAAUUUUCUCACUUAGCUAUUUUUAUAGCAAGAAACUCGUGUUUAAUAUAAAGCCCACUUCUGCUCUGCUGCCCAAAGCCCUUAGCCCAUCACAUGUGACCCACACCGUUUGUCCCCAUUCACUUCUUAUUCUUCUUGUUCUUCUCGCUGUUUUCCCUCCCUCCUCCUUGCCAUUUUUCUCUUUCCUCUUCUCUAAUUCCUUUUGAUUCUGUUCUUGUCUCAUGCCC